rnacentral:tRNA from 1 species
ACUUUUAAAGGAUAGAAGCCAUCCGUUGGUCUUAGGAACCAAAAAAU